rnacentral:rRNA from 1 species
ACAGAGGGACCUAGCGUUGUUCGGAAUGACUGGGCGUAAAGGGUGCGUAGGUGGUUACUUAAGUAGGGUGUUAAAUCCUUGGGCUCAACCCAAGAAUCGCAUUCUAUACUGGGUGACUGGAGUAUGGGAGAGGAGAUUGGAAUUCCUAGUGUAGAGGUGAAAUUCGUAGAUAUUAGGAGGAACACCAGAGGCGAAGGCGAAUCUCUGGCCCAUUACUGACACUGAGGCACGAAAGCGUGGGGAGCAAACAGG